AAAUAGAGAUCAUUACAGAACGCCUAGUCCUACUUAAAAUACCAUUCAUUUUUCUUUUAUUUUAUCAUCUACUCGAACUGAGGAAAACGUUUGACUAACUCAAAGAAAAGUUCCGCGCCUCCCCUGCCUGUCUGCAGAGGCAGUUUUGAAUUCAGGAGCGGCAUGAUGGCAGCGGCAAACCCUGGCGGUUCUCCGGGUUCGUGGCAACCACGGAUGGGAAAAUGUGGAGGUUGCACGGCUGAUGUUUACUGUUCGUGGCACAGGAAGAGGCAGUUUCAUUUCAGGAAUGAGUGUGCACAAUCAAAGAAUAGAGCGACUGUGGAGAGACCUCUGGGUGGCCGUUACAUGCAUUUACUACGAUGUUCUUCACAACCCUGAGGAAGAAGGCCUUCUUGACAUUUCAAAUGCUGCACACCUCUUUUGCUGCCAUUACAUCUUUCUUCCUCGACUAGAGGAUAAUUUUAAUACAU